rnacentral:lncRNA from 1 species
GGGGAACCAGAGCAGCAGCUGUGGCUCGGCCCCUCGGAAGCAGCACGGGCCAGCUGGAAUUAAAAGCGCAGUUUUUUUUUUUUUUACCUCCAGUCUUUCUCUCUGCUUUCCAUCUCCUUCUCCGUCCUUCGGAUAUUAUCUCUGAGACCAAAACCUUCAGGAGCCUGUGGGGCAGAUCAGUUCUGAAGCUGGAAAAUCCAAGAUUUGGUGUCUGGUGAGUACUCAUUCUCUGGUUCAGAGAUGAUGGCUUUUAGCUCUGUCUGCAAUGUGUUGUAAGAGGAGAAUUCUGGCUUCCCCAGUCCCUUAUAAGGGCAAUAACCCCAUUCAUGAAGGUCAUCCUCAUUAACUAGUUACCUCCCAAAGCCUACCCCCAAUACCACCC